rnacentral:snoRNA from 1 species
CUGCCAUGAUGGCAUUUCUUAGGACACCUUCGGAUUAAAAAUGAAAACAACUGCUCUCUGAGCAGC